rnacentral:rRNA from 1 species
CCUACGGGGGGCAGCAGUGAGGAAUAUUGGUCAAUGGUCGGGAGACUGAACCAGCCAAGCCGCGUGAGGGAUGAAGGUACAGAGUAUCGUAAACCUCUUUUGUCAGGGAACAAAGGCGGGGACGUGUCCCCGGAUGAGUGUACCUGAAGAAAAAGCAUGGGCUAACUCCGUGCCAGCAGCCGCGGUAAUACGGAGGAGGCGAGCGUUAUCCGGCUUGAUGGGGUUUAAAGGGUGCGCAGGCGGUCUGUGAAGUAAGCGGUCAAAGCCCGGGGGCAAACCCGGGCCCGCCGUUGAAACUGGCAGUCUCAAGUUGGAGAGAAGUAUGCGGAAUGCGCGGUGUAGCGGUGAAAUGC